ACUCCUGUAGCUCAGUGGUAGAGUGUCUGCCGGGCCGGUGUGUGGAAGGUCAUAGGUUCAACUCCUGUUUGGAGAA